UGUCAGCUCAACUUUAUAUGAAGGGACUGUC
rnacentral:piRNA from 1 species